GAGAACACAAUUAUCGAGAUGUACUGUUAUCAACUAUGAGCCAUUGCUUAGGGCUGAACCUGUAGUGGCACCAAAUAGUAAUAAGAACUAUGGCAGUUGGUGACACCCACCUAACAACCUCACAGGUGUAUGUCAAAUACUUCCCAUUCUUGAGGGAAGGCUCCUGCUCCACCUCCUCUAGAAAUAAUUUGCCUAAUUACCAAAAUGCACACAGGUGUUCUUGCUCCCUGACACCUUAUUUCACUGACCUCACAGAUGUGGACAGGCAAUAAUGCACAAGCUCCACUCUCAGUCGUACCGUCAGUAUUUAUGGUCCCGUAUUUUUCUUCGGGCUUCUUCUAUCCUCCACAGCAGGCUUUGAACCCAUUCUGUAAAACGGUAUGGACAGGAUCAAGAGCAAUUUCUAACUUUUCCUGGUGACACUGAAUCAAGUUUGAACCAAAAGAAGGUUUGAGGUAGAUGUUGCAGGGACAUCCAAGGACAUAAUUGCUAGUAACAGGGUCAGAGAAUAAACUAGCACACACUAAGGAGGGGAACCGAAAAGUCACAAGCAUGUCAACACAACACGACUGAACUCUGCUUCUGCUGAUGAGAAGUGUCAGUGCCACAGACGUGAGGUGAAUGGCAGGGGAGCUCUUUCACUGAACUGUCAACUAAUGAAGUGGUGAGAAAUUAGGAGGCCCUGUAAUUUACACGCUAAUUCUCCCUAAUGCCACCUGGGGGCUUCCUCCAGGCAGAGGAGCAGAGGAGUGGAAAAUGGUGUCGUCCAGCCAGCAGCAAGCCUGUGCUGCUAUUCUGUCUUUGCCAAGCAACACAGCAGACCAGCUUGUUUCCAUUCACCAUUCAGGGAACAGUUGGCAGACUUCCCCCAGAAUGUGGGCAAGCCUCAGCUAUAAGAGCAAAAUGAAGACAAAGAAAAGAAUUUUAAUUCUUAUACCUUUUUGCAUUUUUUGUGUGCUCUCUUCAAGUUGACUCAGUGGGCAACCCUCUACCUUUCCUCAGCUCUGACAUCUCCCUCUCACCACAAGCAUAAGUCACAUAAAAUUGGUUGCUGUAAUCAAUGCUCUCCUUGAAACAAAACUCAGAAAUAAAAUGGGUGAUACAUUGCUAUCACUGCACUUAU
rnacentral:lncRNA from 10 species